rnacentral:rRNA from 1 species
CCUACGGGUGGCAGCAGUGAGGAAUAUUGGUCAAUGGCCGGAAGGCUGAACCAGCCAAGCCGCGUGAAGGACGAAGGUGCCAAGCAUUGUAAACUUCUUUUGUCAAGGGACAAAAUCAGGCUCGAGAGCCUGACCGAGGGUACUUGAAGAAAAAGCAUCGGCUAACUCCGUGCCAGCAGCCGCGGUAAGACGGAGGAUGCGAGCGUUAUCCGGAUUUAUGGGGUUUAAAGGGUGCGUAGGCGGGCCGUUAAGGCAGCGGUAAAAGCCCGGGGCUCAACCCCGGCGAGCCGUUGAAACUGGCUGUCUUGAGAUGUCGAGAGGUAUGCGGAAUGCGCAGUGUAGCGGUGAAAUGCUUAGAUAUUGCGCAGAACUCCGAUUGCGAAGGCAGCAUACCGGCGGCGAUCUGACGCUGAGGCACGAAAGCGUGGGUAUCGAACAGGAUUAGAUACCCCUGUAGUC